rnacentral:rRNA from 1 species
GACGAACGCUGGCGGCGUGCUUAACACAUGCAAGUCGAACGGAAAGGCCCUGCUUUUGUGGGGUGCUCGAGUGGCGAACGGGUGAGUAACACGUGAGUAACCUGCCCUUGACUUUGGGAUAACUUCAGGAAACUGGGGCUAAUACCGGAUAGGAGCUCCUGCUGCAUGGUGGGGGUUGGAAAGUUUCGGCGGUUGGGGAUGGACUCGCGGCUUAUCAGCUUGUUUGUGGGGUAGGGGCUUACCAAGGCUUUGACGGGUAGCCGGCCUGAGAGGGUGACCGGCCACAUUGGGCCUGAGAUACGGCCCAGACUCCUACGGGAGGCAGCAGUGGGGAAUAUUGCACAAUGGGCGGAAGCCUGAUGCAGCAACGCCGCGUGCGGGAUGACGGCCUUCGGGUUGUAAACCGCUUUCGCCUGUGACGAAGCGUGAGUGACGGUAAUGGGUAAAGAAGCACCGGCUAACUACGUG